CCUACGGGAGGCAGCAGUGAGGAAUAUUGGUCAAUGGACGAGAGUCUGAACCAGCCAAGUAGCGUGAAGGAUGACUGCCCGAUGGGUUGUAAACUUCUUUUAUAUGGGAAUAAAAUGUUCCACGUGUGGGAUUUUGUAUGUACCAUAUGAAUAAGGAUCGGCUAACUCCGUGCCAGCAGCCGCGGUAAUACGGAGGAUCCGAGCGUUAUCCGGAUUUAUUGGGUUUAAAGGGAGCGUAGGUGGAUUGUUAAGUCAGUUGUGAAAGUUUGCGGCUCAACCGUAAAAUUGCAGUUGAAACUGGCAGUCUUGAGCACAGUAGAGGUGGGCGGAAUUCGUGGUGUAGCGGUGAAAUGCUUAGAUAUCACGAAGAACUCCGAUUGCGAAGGCAGUUCACUGGACUGCAACUGACACUGAGGCUCGAAAGUGUGGGUAUCAAACAGGAUUAGAUACCCUUGUAGUC
rnacentral:rRNA from 1 species